UACGGGGGGGGCAAGCGUUGUUCGGAAUUACUGGGCGUAAAGGGCCAGUAGGCGGCCAACUAAGUCGGAUGUGAAAUCCCCAGGCUUAACCUGGGAACUGCAUCCGAUACUGCAUGGCUUGAAUUCGGGAGAGGGAUGCAGAAUUCCAGGUGUAGCGGUGAAAUGCGUAGAUAUCUGGAGGAAUACCGGUGGCGAAGGCGGCAUCCUGGACCGACAUUGACGCUGAACGGCGAAAGCUAGGGGAGCAAACGGG
rnacentral:rRNA from 1 species